UUUAAAAUUUUUGCUUUCAGCAAUUUUCCAUUUUUUUCAACAUACUUAUAUCGCAAUGAGGCAACCAAAUAUGAAUCCUGAGAAUGAAGAUGGAAAAUGAAUAUUUUAAUCCAAUAUCGAGUUGUUCUUUCAACAUUUUUAGUUUUAGUUUUAAUCGAAAAUAUAAAGUUACAUAAUUGUGUGAGGAAUAAUUUUUGCAGAGAAAUUUUUAAAAAUUCACAAAAGGAAAAAGAAACCUUUACCAUGAGUCUAUAACAUUGAAAGACUGUGUUUAAGUUAUUUUAAUAAAGCCAAACCAACACUUUCAGCAGGAACUAAAUGGCAGCAUCUGAUUUCACGCUGAUACAUAUGUAUUAGUGUGGUGCUCACUUUUACCCUUCAUUUUACCUUGGGUCUUGCCAUUUUCUUUCUUUUUAUUUUUAUGUUUUUUUGUGUUUUGUUUUCUUUUGGAAGAGGUAAUUUUUAGGGAGAAAAAAAACACUUUUUCCUCAUAGGUCGAUUUAAAAUGUUGGCCUUACCUUAAUCUCCUCUCUCAAACUCAAUCCACUAUGUAAUGGGUCAACAUACUUUUCUGUGAAGGAGCAGAUAGUAAAUAUUUUAGUCUUUGCAGGCCAUAUGGUCUCUGUUGCCAGCUCUUCCAUUGUGGUGUGAAAGCAGCCAUAGACAACACAGAAAUGAAUAAGUGUAACUGUUCCAAUAAAAACAGAUGAUAUGUUGAAUUUAGCUCACAGAGUUUAGCUUGCUGCCCCUGCAGGAGGCCUUUGGAGUAAAAGCUUCCUGAGAGGAGGACUUUUUGUCUUUUUUGCUCAAGUUCUAGCUCCAGUACCUAAAAUAGUGCCUGUCACGUAGGUAUUGAUGAAUAUUGGAACCUGUUGAACAUACACCUAAAAUAAAACAUUUGGCAAGAUACAGUACUACACAAUUUGGAGAACACUUGGCUCCCAUAGAAAUCAAAGCCUUCCUGAGUAAUUAAUUAUUUGGCCUGAUGAUGAAUUACUGUGCCUGAGAUGAUAGAGCUAAUUUAUUUUUCAAUUCACUCAGGGGACACACGUUAUUUUCACUGUGAAUUUGGUUAAAAUGAAAAGAUUUCCUGCUCUAAGUCCUGGAUAGACCUUUAUGUAAUAGCAUACUCUUCACUCUUUUUGAAUCGCAUGCAGUUGUCAGACUGGAUGAUUUCCAGACAGAGGUUCCAAGUCUUUCAUCAUGUUUGGGUUAAAGACCUCAUUAACAUACUAGUCCUGCCAUUUGAGUCUGUUCUCUUCACGGAAUAUUUUCACCUGAAUCACCAUAACAUCCUAUGGCCCUGAAAAUAGUUCUGCCAAGCUGCGUGCAGUGGACACUUCACGGCUGGCACAGGAGAGAUCACAAGGCCUUGCUCAAUUUCAUCAAAAGUGUUAAAGCGACUCAGCAGAUUGUGAAGCACAAGUGGAAGCUGAUAAUUGGUGUUUCUUACAAAUCAACGGCUUGUCUCCACACAUCAAGGUGAGAAAAUCAAUGUAAAAGAGGAGAAAUAACCCACACAACCACAUACAACUAGGAAAUGAUAGAUGGAUCUGAAAAAAAGGAUAUGCACUCUUAACAAGUUCAACACCCAAGUACUAUUGCAAGUACCAGCUGUAUUUCAUGGAAAAAAAAAAAAGAAUAACUCAAAAGGCAGAACGAAGAGCCUAGAGGUCAGAGAUGAGAGGCAUGAAUAAUUAUUCACAGGCGUUGAAUAUAAUCAAAUGACUUGCAACAUUUACCACUGGGAUUUUAAAAUGUGGUGGACCAAUCAUUCUUUUAGUCUGUGCAUUUUCCCAUUUUUUUCAACAGGAAUGUCUAGAGACAUUAUUCCUGUUUUGCCACUGUAUUUUUGGUGAAUGUGUAGUAAGUAACUGGCCUCUUUAGUAUCACAAAGCUGGAUGAAGAAAAUGUGGUACAUAUACACCAUGAAAUACUAUGCCGCCACAAAAAGGAAAUGAGAUCAUGUCCUCUGCAGGGACAUGGAUGAAGCUGGAAGCCAUUAUCCUUAGCAAAGUAACGCAGGAACAGAAAACCAAACACCACAUGUUGUCUCUUAGAAGUGGGAGCUGAACGUACCUAAUUCUUGCAAUUCAGUGUAUUUCCUGGCGAGAGGCAGAGAUGAACAACCCUGGACAGUUACCACAUAUGGCUCUUAUGAGGUAAUGAGGAUGGUUGUGAUGAGAAGGGUAAAAAAUAAAAAAGUUAUUACAAAACAUUUUUCAAGGAAUUUUCCAAAAAAUGAUUUUAAUAUUCUCUUUGCUUAUGGAAUGAUAUUUAAAACCAUGAUUUCUGUGUCCUUUAAAAUGACUUCUGAUUUGUGAAUUGUUCUCUGUGCUCCAAACUUCUUUUAUUUGUCCCUGUGUUUAUGCUCAUAACCAUUCAUUUCCCUCUUUUCCCACUGACUUAGCCUCUGGGGUUGUAAAGAAGUUACUCGUUUAUUUUUGUGUAUGUGUGGGGUUUUGUCUUUUGUUUUCUGAGAAUAAAGUAUAUGAGAUCAUGGAAAAAAUCAGAAAACGAGGAAAAUCAUAAAUUCAUUACCAAAAUAAUUUCUGAUUUGGUAUUAUAGCUCUGCAAAUUACUUCACUAAUUGUGUUCAUAGGUACUAUGGUACACUGUACACUGUUUUGUAACUUGCUUUUUAGAUGGAUUAUAUCAUAUUUUUCUGUAUCAAUAAAUAUGAAUUCAUUACAUCAGUUUAAACUGAUCAAAAACAUUUUAAUCAAAGUAAUACAAUUAAAUUGCUAAAUAUCAUAGGGAAUCGAAGAGUUUAUAAUCCCAAACCAUACUCUUUCUUUUCCUAGCCAGCUGGGGACAUUUUUAAUUGUUUCUAUUUUCAUUCUUUCUGUUUCAGUUCUUAUAAAAAUACAUAUAUAAAAUUGGCUAAAUGAUUAAAUGUUAUAGUAGUUCUUUAAUUAUAAAUUUGAAUAAUAUUUGUUGACUUCCAAACUGCAUACCCCUUGCCUUGUCCAAGUAAAACUGUACCAUCGUUUAUUCUCUGUGUUGUCAAUAAAACACUAAGUGAUAUCUGAGUUUCUAAAUUUCAGUUCACUCAUAGAAUGUAUCCUUUUUUUUCUUCUUGCCUCCAACAUUUUAUUAUGAAAUUUUCAAAUUCAUGAUAAAAGUAUAUAGUAUUCAUCUGUAUACUUACCUCCUAGUCUAUAUAUUUUUUACAUACUGUUUAUAAUUGUUUUAUUAUUUUCUACCCAUUUGUCUAUCUGUUAACCCAGCUUAAUUUUUGAUGCAUUUAAAAGUAGGUUGUAGAUACAAAUAACCAUCACCCUAACACCCUUCAAUACAAUGUUUACAGUUGUUUUUUUGACAUUGGAAUGUAUCUGUGGUUUCUCUAUUUCAUAGGAUCAUAGCAUUAACACCUUUACACUUCCCCUUACAUCUCCUUCCAUUUCUUCUCCCCGUCCGCCACCAGCUUCCAUCAUCUGUAUUAUACAGAAUCUGUCCUAAAAAAUUCUGAAGUAGGCCUUAGGUUUUUUUUGUUUUUUUAAAGGGUCUUGUUCUGUGGCCCAAGCUACAGUGCAGUGGCACAAUCUCAGCUCACUGCAGCCUCUGCCUCCUGGGCUCAAGUAAUCCUCCUGAAUAGCAGGGAUUACAGGCACAGACUACCAUGCUUAGCUAAUUUUUCUAUUUUUUUAUUUGUAGAGAUGGGGUUUCAUCAUAUUACCCAGGCUGGUCUCAAACUUCUGGGCUCAAGCAAUCUACCUGCCUAUGCCUCUGAAUGUGCUGGGAUUACAGGUGUGAGACACCCUGUGUGGCCAGGCCUCUUUUUAAAAAUAAGCCUGAUAGUUAAUUUUAUAUGUCAAUUUGACUGAGCCAUAAGUUGCCCAGAGAUUUUGUCAAGCAUUAUCCUGGGUGUGCCUCUGUGGGUGUUUCUGAAUGAGAUUAGUAUUUAAAUCAGUAGACUGAAUAAAAUAGAUUGCCUUCCCUAAUGUGGAUGGGCCUCAUUCAAUAGCUGUGGGAAUGAAUAGAUCAAAAGGGCAAACCCCUCCGUGAGUGACAGAGAUCUCUUCCUGCCUGACUGCCUUCAAGCUGAGACACUGGAAUUUUUUUUCUGCCUUUUGACUUCAAUUAAAACAUUGGCUUUUCCUGGGUCUUGAGCCUGCCCGUCUUUAGACUAGAACUAGAAGCUAUCCUGGGUCUACAGUUUGCCAACUGCAUACCUUUGGACUAGUCAGCCUUUAUAAUUGUGUGAGCCAAUUCCUUAUAACAAAUCUUUAUAUAUCGAUAUAUAGAGAUAUAUAUUGAUAUAUAUAUAUAUACCUAUAUAGAGAGAUAUAUCUAUAUAUCUAUAUAGAUAUCUAUACCUAUAUAGAGAGAUAUGUCUAUAUCCAUAUAUAGAUAUAUAGAGAUCCAUAUAUAUCCUCUAUAUAUGGAUACAUCUAUAUAUAGAGAGAUCUCUCUAAAUAUCUCUAUAUCUAUAACUAUAUCUACAUCUACAUCUAUAGCUAUAUCAACAUCCAAUUUGUUCUUUUUCUCUGAGAACACCUACUGAUAAAUAAGUUUCUAAGUUUUGUCUAUCAGUUGAUGCUAAAACAUUAAAAAAAGAGAACAACUAAUACUCUUUUUACACUAAUUAGAACAAUGUAAGCCUUUUUGUUUUAUUACCAAAUAAUUUGUAUUUCCUAUGUAAUUGCUGCAGUUUUAUUUUGCAUAUAGAUUUUUUUUCCGUAACAUCUUUGUCUGUUAGUGGUUUUAUUUAUGAAUAAAUAAAUCCUUAGAUUCAUCCCACUUCUGAGGUCAGACAUCAAAUCUUUUCACUACAUGCCUCUCUUUGGGAGGUUUCUUUCUUGCUAAUCCAAACAAGAACAUCUGCACAAUUGUCAACCUGGAAUUUACUUUAUUAAUCUCCUGGUUUGGAAACACUUUUUCUUGGAUGUUAUAUUUACUUUAGUUUACUAUUUUGUUGGCUUGCACUAAUUUUAUAUGAUUUCUUAAUAAUGAGUGUAUGUUAGACAUUUUACUUGAGUCUUUUCAUAUCACGGUAUGCCUUUAUUUUACCCUCAUAUAUAAUUAAUUUUCAUCUGGGCAUAUAUUUCCAGAUUAGAAAUCAUUUCUUUUCAUACAUUUUAAGGAAUUUAUACAUUUGCAUCUGAAAUUGUAUUCAUUAUCUUCUAGAAACCAAGAGUGGACUUGGUAUCCGUCUGAUUAUAUUUUCUUUGUUGGUAAAGAGCCUCUUUUUUCCCUUUUUAUUUUCAUCUUCUCUUUCUCUAGUGUUUAUAAUCUUAUUUUUAUGAAUGUAGUCUAAUUAUUUAGAACACUGUCUCCGAGUAUGUGUUUAUUUGGGUUUGUGUUUUGAACAUUGCCUCCAGGUGCGAGUUUAUGUGUGUUUAUGUUUCCUAUUUGAGGUUGGACACUUAGAAAAUUUUCUCAAUUCGAAAACUAUUUUCCUUCAGCACUCAGAAAUUUUUAUCAAAGAUUAUUUCCACGAUUAUUUCCUGUCCUUGGUUUUUCGUGUUCUUAACCUAGAAUUCAAUUGUUUAAUGUUAGACCUUACACAUCUUCAAUGUAUCAUAUAUAUUUCACUCAUAUUAUUUAUUGUCAUAUCUUUUGGACUAUUGUGUGAAAGCAAUAAAUGUAUAUUACUUUA